CGAUUAAAGUGUUUCUAACAUAUUUUCACAACUUAAAAAUAUAAGUUUUCUUAUCUAAAACACCUAUUUCGACUAAAAAUUGAAAAAACAUUUUCUUUGAAAAACUAGAUUUAUAAAUUUCAAAUUCUUGAGUUUAUUCGUGUUUAGGUCCCCGAAUUGAUACAAUUAAAAAUUAUUUCAAAUAUCUAUGAUGUCACGACCCGGAACUCUCAUCGAGCCAGUGACAACCGCCGCGACGUCCUGAUAGGCACUCAUUACCCCGAAUGCCGAUCGAAACCCCGCAAGGCUUAGCAUCAGCUUCCGCAUCUCCCUAGUGAGCGAUAGUUAUUAAAUCUCACAUUUCAAAAAAUCAUAAGUCAUUUCUAAAUCAAAACAAUAAAAUAUUACUUUCUGGCUCACAGGGGCAUUUUCGUCAUUUUUCUUCGAAAAUACCGAAACUCGCCAAAAACAUGGUGUAAAAGCUAAAUAUAUUCAUACAUACUUUAAAUCAAAUAACUGAAGAAUAAAAUUACUUUUACAGUGACACGUGGGCCCUCAACUGACUAAGAAGAUGUAGGGCUACGAACCCUUACUUUCUAAGAUGCAACUCCGAGAUUAAUUCUCGUCUUAAUCAACUAUCAACAAAUUGUCCUGAGCCUGAAAAAUGGAUAGGAAGAGGGGUGAGAUUAUGAUUGCAUAAUCCCAGUGACUAAAUAAUUACCAUCAAAAGCAUCUAAAGCCGAGUAGAUGGAGAUAAUAUAAAAACAUUAUAUCUCAAUAAUGUUCAUAACGCAAAAUUUGUUUCAAUCUAUACCAAACAAUUUAUUUUCAUCAAAAUUUCUCGGCUUAUGAAUUUCUUAAACUUGGCCCCUGCCAAAAUUAUUUUCGCGGGUACCCUCGUCAAGGUAUCCCACUGAGACCACCAAGGCUAUUAAAUGACCCAUACCCAUAAACAUGUUUUCACAUCUGACACACAGCCGUUCCUUGACGUUGGCUGAGUCUCACUCUCACGUGGUGGCCCGAACGUGAGGUGCACUCAAAUCUUACCUUAGGAGAUACUUCAUCCAACAUCUCCCCCCGGAGGUAAUUAUAUAAUUGGGUUACCGUACCCCUCUCAUAGGUAGUCCACGAAAACCCCCACCACUGUAGUGACCGUUUAAUAUACCAUCAAACCCAUAAAAAUUCCAGUAGCAUAAUAUAGUGAAUAAAAUGUAAUUCAGUCUAGCGAGACCAAUCCAAAACUGUUCAUAUAUUUCAUGUCAACCCAAAAAAUUUAGCCAUCAUGCUACCAUAGUGUCAUAAGCCACAAUUUCAAUAACAUAUAAAUCAUAAAUUUCAACACGUUCUCCAUAUACUCAAUUUUCUCAAAACAAUAUUUGAUUUCAAAACCAGUAUAAAUCUCAUUUUUAUUAAAAAAUAUUUUAAUUGAAAAACAUAAUAUUUUAUAAUUUAAACUCACCAUUCAAUAAAAGCAUCAAACAAGUAUAAUUACUCUAGAUAUUUAAGACGAUAAAUUGUUCACUCACAGUUCUAGGAGUUGAUAUACUCCUAACCCUAGUCUUCAAGCACAAUCUCUAUACUUUUACCAGUGUAAUUUGCUCACCACCUAUCCACAAUGUACAAUAUAUAAUUCACCACAUUAAUGCUUGACCAUUAUAAAAUCAAUUCAGGCUCGGUGUAUAUGCAUGAUAUGACAUGCAACUUAACUGACUACCGCUUAAAUGCGGUGCUGACCUAAUUCGGCCUAUUACCAGAUUAAAUUACUAACGCGUCCAAUUUAAUCCCAAAUUAAUUUUUUUCAGUUUCUAUACCUCAAUUGCACCCAAAUUGACUUAAUGUUCUUCAGUGUGGUGCAAAUUAUUAGUCUCGGUAGCAAAUUACGAAAAUACCUCUAGUGGGUAAAAAUUCGUAUUUUUGCUCUGAAAAUUUUUAUUAUUUUUUUAGGCUCAUAAUUCAUCAUUAUUCAUCAUAAUUCCUCAAAUAAACAUCAAGAUCAGCAGCCAAUAUUCCCCUAGAAAAUUCAGCCAAUAAUGGUAAUGGAGGAAAAUGAAUUCUUUUCUUGUUUUUUUGUUUCUAAAUAUGCUAAACUAACUUAAAACACUAACAUAACUUAAAAUCAAAUUAAUCUAACUUCAUUCUCUCUCCAUACCCAUUUGGGCAGCCAUGAAUUUACCUUGAAAACAUGAAAUCUAACCAAGAAAAAUAAGGAGAAAAGCAUGGGAAAGGUAGAUCACAAGUCAAAAUCAAGAAAUUUUACCUUUUGUCACUUGUUUCCUUGAAUUUUCACCAAUUUUCCCUUGAAUUUCUCCACCUAGGUUUUUAUUUUUCUUUUCCCCUUUGUUUUCUUGCUAUGGCCGGCCAAAAUGAAGAGAAA
rnacentral:lncRNA from 1 species